rnacentral:rRNA from 1 species
AACGAACGCUGGCGGCGCGCUUAACACAUGCAAGUCGAGCGGGCACCGCAAGGUGUCAGCGGCGAACGGGUGCGUAACACGUGGAUAAUCUGCCCUCGAGUUCGGGAUAACUCGCCGAAAGGCGUGCUAAUACCGGGUAAGCUCACGGGGUCUUCGGACCCAGGGAGGGAAGGGGAAACUCGCUUGAGGAUGAGUCCGCGGCCCAUCAGCUAGUUGGCGGGGUAAUGGCCCACCAAGGCGACGACGGGUAGCUGGUCUGAGAGGACGAUCAGCCACACUGGAACUGAGACACGGUCCAGACUCCUACGGGAGGCAGCAGUGGGGAAUCUUGCGCAAUGGGCGAAAGCCUGACGCAGCGACGCCGCGUGUGCGAUGAAGGUCUUCGGAUCGUAAAGCACUGUCGCCCGGGACAAAGAAAGUGGUGGUACCGGGAGAGGAAGCACCGGCUAACUCUGUGCCAGCCGCCGCGGUAAGAC